UAAUCUGAAGUCAGGCAAGAGUACGCGCUGAACUUAAGCAUAUCACUAAGCGCAGGAAUUGAAAUAACUAUGAUUGCCUCAGUAACGGCGAGUGAAGCGGCAAGAGCCCAAGAUGAAAAUUGCUGUCCUUUGGACGCGAAGAAUUGUAAUCUAUAGAGCAGUCGCUGACAGAUCCCUUGAAGCUCAAGUGUCCUGGAAUGGACCGCCAUGGAGGGUGAAAGCCCCGUACGGCAUCGAGGAGGUUCUAAGUGGCUGUUUGAAGAGUCGAGUUGUUCGGGACUGCAGCUCUAAGUGGGAGGUAGACUUCUCCUAAGGCUAAAUAACUAUGAGAGACCGAUAGCGAACAAGUAAUGUGAAUGAAAGAUGAAAAAUAUAUUAACUAUCCGUAAGAACUUUGAAUGAAUAAAAGAGAAUUAAAUAGACCUGAAACCGUUGAGGUGGAAGCGAUAGGACGUUUUCAUUUGGGCUCGAGCUGGCAGAGCGGCUUUGCCGUGAGUCUGCUCGUGUUCAAAAAGCAAGAUAGUCUCGGGUCGCGUCAAAGCCUACCGCUGGGCCAGAGCUUCGGCAUCACUCAGUGGGUGGCGGUCGCGGUCGGGGUCGAGGGGCUUCGUGCGAUCUUGCUAAGUUUGAUAUUGUCCUACCGACCCGUCUUGAAACACGGAACAAGGAGUCUAACAAAUACGCGAUUAUGUUGGUGUUUGUAAACCAUGCAUGAGCAAUGAAAGUAAGCGGUGCCAAUCGCAAGAUGCAGCAUCGGCCGAUCGUGCGCCUCUGGCAAAACGUGUUGGCUACGAGCGUAUCUGUUAGGACCCGAAAGAUGGUGAACUACGCUUGGGUAGGAUGAAGCCGGAAGAAAUUCCUGUUGGAGGUCCGAAACGGUACUGACGUGCAAAUCGUUCGUCAAACUUGAGUGUAGGGGCGAAAGACUAAUCGAACCAUCUAGUAGCUGGUUCCCUCCGAAGUUUCUCUCAGGAUAGCAAAGACAGUUAAAGCAGUUUUAUUUGAGGUAAAGAAUAAAUGAUUAGAAGCAUCUGGGAUUUAUUUGUGAUCUCGACUUAGUUCUCAAACUCUAAAUAUUGUAAUAGCUCGGUAUUUCUUAAGUGAAGAUCGAGGCAGAAUGCUUGUCUUUAGUGGGCCAUUUUUGGUAAGCAGAACUGGCGAUGAGGGAUGAACCUAACUCUGAGUUAAGGUGCCAAACUGCACGCGCAUCAGAAACCACGAAAGGGUGUGUUGAUUCAUUUUGACAGCAGGACGGUGGCCAUGGAAGUUGGAACCCGCUAAGGAGUGUGUAACAACUCACCUGCCGAAUGAAUUAGCCCCGAAAAUUUUGAUGGCUCUCCAGCGUGCGACCGAUACUCGGACAUUGCAACGAAAGUCUGAUUGCAAUGAGUAGGGGGGGCGUAGGCGUCUUGUCGAAGCUUUGAGCGUGAGCCUGAGUAGAAAGGCGUCUAGUGCAGAUCUUGGUGGUAGUAGCAAUUAUUCAAAUGAGAACUUUGAAGGCCGAAGUGGAGAAGGUUUCCAUGAGAACAGCAAUUGGUCAUGGGUGACUCGGUCCUAAGAUAUUGGUAAACACCUUGCAAAUGAGCUUCGGCUCGCGAUCGAAGAAGGGAAAAUGAGGUUAAUAUUCCUCAAGCUGGCUAUGGAUGUCACGGUAACGUUUGUGAGCUCGGUGACACCAGCGCGUGCCUCUGAAAGAGUUAUCUUUUCUUUCCUAACAGUCAAGCGACCCUGAAAUCGGAUUAUCCGGAGAUGAGGGUUGUAAGGCUGGAAUAGUGUAUGUUUCUUGAUACAAAUUAGAUGCGCUCGCGAUGGUCCUUGAAAAACCCGAGUGAGGUAAUUAUUCCAUACCAGGCCGUACCAAUAACCGCAUCAGGUCUCCAAGGUUAGCAGCCUCUGGUCGAUUAGAAGAAUGUAGAUAAGGGAAGUCGGCAAAUUAGAUCUGUAACUUCGGGAAAAGUAUUGGCUCUGAGGAUAAUAUCUGUGUGAGGCGGUACCGGCGAUGACGGUCGAGUCAGUUGCGGUCUGCUUGUUUCGGCUUGUGGAUCGCUUCGCGGCAGGCCUGAUUCCGUCCGGACUGCCGCCUUGCAUUCGUUUGUA
rfam:Reticulomyxa filosa solexa3784672_1.f1.exp, whole genome shotgun sequence.